AUUCUACAUUUCAUUCUUCACCUGCAGAACCUCAUCACACCACCACCUCUCCUAUACCUCCACUCCGAAGAUCCACAAGAUCCCAUAGACCACCCUCAUAUCUUGAUCAAUACCAUUGCAAUUUGACAAGACAAAUCAUCUCCCACUUCAAUCUGAUUCCAAGGUAAUUGUCACACCUGAUAGUGGUAUGAUAUUUCAUAAUAUUUUGGAUAUGGUCACUGCUAACAAAGCAUAUGUGAUGUCCAUUUCCUCCUCUUUUGAGCCGUCAUCAUUUUCCCAAGCCUCCGAGAAUCCUGAUUAGUGUG
rnacentral:lncRNA from 1 species